GCCUUCAAUUUAAGAAAAAUAAAACUUUUCUAAAAAAGCUUAAAGGACGCAGUAUCUUGACUGUGGUAAUGUAGCAUAAUCACUCGCCACUUAAUUGGUGGAUAGUAUGAAUGGUUAAACGAAUAUUACACUGUCUCUAAAAGAAAUCCCAUGAAAUUAAAAUAAUAGUAAAGAUGCUAUUUAAAGCUGUAAGACGAAAAGACCCUAUAGAGCUUAACUACAUUAUGUGUUUUAAAAAAUUAAAUAUAAACUUAAAAAAACACACAUCUUGGUAGUUUAGUUGGGGCGACUGUCUUUUAAAAUAAACAAAGACAAGCAAUGUUAAUAAUAAACUUAUUGUAUAAUAUAUAAAUUUAACAAUUAUAAAAAUAGGCUAUAAUGACCCAUUAGAUUUUAAUAACAAAACUAAUGAUUAAUAAAUAAAAGCUACCUUAGGGAUAACAGGAUAAUUUUGUUUUAGAGAUCUAAUCGAAGACAAAGUUUGUCACCUCUAUGUUGAAUUAAGAUAUCCUGAUAGUGCAGAAGCUAUCAAAGGUAGGUCUGUUCGACCUAUAAAAUCUUACAUGAUUUGAGUUCAUUC
rnacentral:rRNA from 1 species